ACACAAGUAUACAUUUCUUCUGUAAGUGUUUGUUUCCAUAUAUGAAGAUUCAGUGACUCAUGGAACACGGCAAGAAAGAUAAACUAUAAAACAUUGACAUGAAGGCGCGUGAUUAACGUGACAGUUGCAGAUAGAAACUCUUCUUUUUUGUUGAACUCUGCUGGUGGCUCAAACUGUCAUUUUACAACUUACAAAACUGCAAGAAACUCAUGACAUACGCAUUUAUCUACAUCCCAGAUAAACUCUCUGUUCUCAACUUCUCAUGAUUCCUACACCGAAACUUCUGGCCCCACCAUCUUUGAUCACUUGAUAGUUCCCCCACUACCCAACUGCAAGCAAUCAUAUGUAUGACCACAAACAAACACUGCCAGUAUUCUUGUUUCCUUAAUCAUUUUAUAUUCUUCUACUUCAUGUUGUUUUUCAUUAAGAUUCUACAUAAACAUAGUAGAAGCUAUGUCAACAGAUAUGCGUUCAACAUCAAGGACAAGCAUAAACAGACGUAUAAAACUUGCCCCAGACAUGCAAAACAUCAUCAUCAUGCAUCCACAACAUGCUAAAAUAACGCACUCUUAUUUUUUCUGUAGAUAAGAACCCCAUCUAUCUGUUUAUCUUUCCUUCACAAUACAAGAAGGAGAACAAAGCUUUCGUCUCUGUCACAGAUUUGUCUUCUUCCACUGGAUCUCAAUUUUGGAGCAAGGGGACUCAAACCCGACAAGACAAUUUCCACCAUCUCGCCACCUUCAUCAUUUCAUUUGGUGACCAGUUCUCCACCUGCUUCUUUCCAUUUUGCAUUCACUUCUCUCUCUCUUCCCCUUCUCCUGUGAUUUAAUAUAACCCUUCUAAUUAUAUAGUCCAUCAACCACGAAACUUUGCUUUGAUUUACGGUCACAUGAACCUUGAGUUUAAUUUACAAAAUACUCUUUUUAAGAAAAUAACUGGUUUGUGUUUU
rnacentral:lncRNA from 1 species